ACGUAAGCUUAAUGGUUACAUUGUAAUUUCCAUAAAAAUCCAUGCCUACUUGUUUAGCAUCUUCCCUUCUUUCUUUUUCCAAAACUAGUAGCUGCUGUCUUAAAAUCUGGUGUGGAUCGCUCGAUAACAGUAGUCCGUGCACGCCUAGGUGUCACAAUCCUAUUCGUCUGUGCCCUUUAUAAAUAACCAUCAGUCUCACCCGUGAUAGGGUAGGUGUGAUGUGUAUCUGUAUGCUUUCUCUUUCUAUCAAUCUUUAUUCAGCAUCUAUAUCAGGAAGAGAGAGAAAAAGAAAUGGAGAGGGAGAGAGAGGGGAGGAGUUGAUUCUGUUACCGGCGGUCUCUAAUUCGCUUGGUGCAGGUCGGGAACUGAUUGGCUUCGCUUGUAUGUACUUGUGUGUACAGUAUGUACUUAAUCAAUGCCAGAUGGCGAGAUGUGAUUAGUUGAGAUGAAUGGAAGCGAAUUGGAUCCCGCCUUGCAUCAACUGAAUCGGAGACCGCGGUGAAGGGUUGCAUGGAUCUUGGUUGUAUCUCCGGUUACUGUUCAGAUCUCAGGAAAAGAUUCUAUCUUUACAUGGAACAGAAAAGGAAAGAACUUGUGCACGACAGAAUUCAAUCAAAAAAUCUUGCUUGCAGAUUGUUACUAUAAGCUGCAAGUUUUCAUUUUAUUUAAGGGUCCAUUUGGAUAGCAAGUAAUUUUCUGGAAAAUGUUCGAAUACAUUCUUUUGGUGAUUUAUAACUGCUGAUAAAUAUUGGAUUUUUUUGGUGCUUGCAAUUCUUGUUCGAAAUUUUUAUCUCAGUGCAGGGAUGCUGAUUCAUAUUAAGGAAACUUUUGAUGUUUCCGUUUUUGUUCAAUUUCAUAGAUACUAUGAUGUGAAUAUGUAUACCCCAGUUUAGAGUUAGACUGGACUGUUAACAGAAGGCAAAUUUGUUUAUGUUUAUUUUUAUUAUUAUUUUUUUUUUUUUGUGUGUAUUUGAAGUUAGGGGGAAAGGAAUAUGCUUUAAGUUUUAAGAUUAUCAUUACAGCUUAAAACUUUAAUGUUUGUAUGGAUGCAUAUAUGUAUGUUCAUGUAGCUAUUUAUUUACUUUGACAAUUUUUUCCACUGCUGCUAGGUUGUUUUGUGAUCCUGAUUGAGGUUACCUAUGUUCUUUGGAGUCUAUAUUGCUUUAAUCACAAGUUUUGUUAUGGUGUUCAUAACUGUUUUUGGAGCAAUAGGAUUACAUAAAUAAAAUAACAGCAUUUGCUCAUAAACCAUCUUAAACAAAAUCGAUGGGAACACAUGUUAUGUAUACAUUUCUACAAGUGGACAGUUAUAACAAAAAAGAUUCGUGGAUCCGCCAGAUCUUUUUUUUACCUCAUAGUUUCAACCGCAACUUGGUUGGUACUAUCUUAACUUUUUUUAGACAUUUAUGUACAAAUGCACACAUAUAUGGACUAGUUUUGCUCUUUCUAUGAGGUUAUACUCUACUUAAUGAGAAAGAUUGAGCCUUCACCAAAUGCUCACUUGUCCAUUGGAAUGUGAACUAUUUAGAUUCGCGUCCCUCUUUUGAUUGGUCUGUUCUUUCUGUCUCAGUUGAUACCCUGAAUAGGUGGUGCAAUACCUCAUUUUUCAAGCAUCCUUAUGCUUUCCCAAAACAAUCCUAUCACAAGUAUUCAGAGAACGUGUGUGAAUUAGGGUAUGUAUCACUGAUUAGGGUAUGUGGCAUUGUUGUUAUAUAUGUUGUUGAGAAAAUAAGCUUCUUCCUUAUGUUGAUUAGAGGCAGUGAGAACUUGUGUCAUACAUCCAAUACGUUUUGUCUUAAACCAAUUAACAGGUCCAAACUGCUUUUUGAAUAUUACCUAAAAGAUUGAUCUCAAAUAUCAUUUUCAACUUUAACUUCAAAACAGACACUUAGUCUUUAUGCUCUUUAUGGAAGUCAUUGUUGUUUUAGUAUGUUUAAAAAAUAGUUUCCUCUUAUGUUGCUUGUUUUUGAAAUUAUAGUAGGCAGAUUCUUAUUGAGAAGAUUCUCCUAGGCGACAAAGUUGAACCAUUGCAAUGCAUAAAAUAAUUUGUAUGUUGUCCUAAGUGCAGUAUGCCGAUAGGUGAAAUCUUCUGUGCACUAUAAUUUUGGGCUUGCAUUGGACUAGUUGAGUGGGGAAAGGAUGCUUUUUGUAUAACCAAUUUUCUUUAGUCUCAAUUGAUGGUCUGGGGUACAUGCAAGAACCUCUUUGCUUUGGUGGAAGCAAUGGAACUGCCAAAGUAGUUUCUGUUACUAUUAUGCAGGAACCAUGAUAGUAAUUGCUGUUACUAUUAUGGUCCAGUUAAGUUUCAUCUAUUUUACUGGCAUCCAAAUACGUAUGAGAAUUCUGGUUUGCUUUUAAGAGGAACGUUCCUUGAUAGCUCUUUAUUUUGAGGUGAUUUCUAUGUAAUAACAUUUUCCUGGACAUGUAUCAUGACUUGAAUGUUUAUUUACAUAGGAUUGUGUAUCUGUAGCAUUUUUUGCACUGUAAACUAAAACCUUCCGACUUUGAAAUGCAUUUCUAUGGUUGGCUAUACUUUCCUCCUCCUGUAUUGUAGUUGCCUCAAAAAAGAUGACAAGAAGCCAAACUGUGAUAUACCACUUUGUGAUAUCUAUCGGCUCUUAUCAAUGAGCUCUGGAUUUGAACUUCUGUUUUCUGUAUCUGGUAAUCUUCUUUUUUAUGCUUCAGAAUCUCUUUUUUUUCAUUAACACAAAUUGUUCUACUGUGUGUGUCAGUUAGCGGUAUCAGGAUGGAUAUCCAGAAUUUGAAUAUACAGGCCUGGUAAUCGAAUUUUAUUAUUUUAUACUAUACUGAACUUAACGUUUCCCUGCUUUGUAUGGAGCUGAGCAGAUUCUUUGUUAUGUCAUUCUCUUCCUUAAUUGGGCAGCAAGCAGCCCCCACAAAUCUAUAUUUCUAACUUUAGCAAAGGUUGUCUUGGUUGUGUGCAAGUGCUGCAUUUUGCCAAAUUGCUCUUUACCUUCUGAGAUGAUGAAAGGGAAUGAAAUUCAAAUUAAAAAAUUCACACAGCAAGGAUGCAUCUAAUGCGAAUCUGCAUUCACCACUUUUUGCUGCUUUUGCAUGUGAACUGAUUGUUUAUUACUUCACUUUUUUGGUUUGGUUAAAUGAUUCCAAUUUGACAUCUCUUUUUGUUUUCACAUGCAUUGAUGUGAUGAUAAUUACUUUGUGCUUGUGUUCUUUCAGUGUUAUUUGUUUGAUAAUUUGCUUUGUGUUCUUUUGUUCUACUUACCUUGAAUUGCGUGUUUGAGCUGCAGAGGCAUGAACCUGACAAAGCUGGACUAGUAGCAAAGCCACUUGACGAUAUGGAACUCUCUUUUUAAACAAUUAAAAUUCUUUAGACAAAUCCAAGGAUGGAAUAAUUUAUAGGACAAUCCAUCUAACUUGGAACCAUUUAUACCGAUAUAUUUGUCUAUUUAAUAUUUUGUUUCCCCCUAAAUUUAAAUCUUGGCUUUGCCCUGAGCAGGACUAGGACUACACUUCUGAGAUGGCAACUUGAAGUUCACAAUUCAACGGCUGAGGAAUGAAUGGAAGAAUAUCAUGCAUUGAUUAGGUUUGAUUUCAAAUGGCAGGGUCAUCCAUCCAACAUAUUUGUGUGUAUUAUUUUGUACUUGGGAGUGAAGAAAACGAAAUUUUAAAAUUUUUUAUCGUAGCUUAUGCUUGUGUUAGAUGUCCAUUUGAAUGGGCAUCCUUUCAAUAUAAUAGUAAAGAUAUUUACUGAUUUCCAACUCGAUCAGACGACAGGAAAAAAAAAGGUCGUUUAUUGCUUACUAUUGUUUUUCAAAUGGUAUACGAUGGGAAUAUUGUAACUAUGACUAUGGUCGUUUAACUAAUGGGAUGCAUGAACUAGCUUCUUUAAAUUCAA